UUUUUAACAAUUUGACUUGGGUUAAGGGCGCCUGGGUGCCUUAGUUAGUUAAAUGUCUGAAUCUUGAUUACAGCUCAGGUCAUGAUCUCAGGGUCCCGUGAUUGAGCCCUGUGUU